rfam:Pteropus alecto contig54250, whole genome shotgun sequence.
GUCUACGGCCAUGCCACCCUGAACGUGUCCGAUCUCGUCUGAUCUCAGAAGCUAAGGAGGGUCGGGCCUAGUUAGUACUUGGAUGGGAGACCAUCUACGAAUACUAAGUGCUGUAGGUG